rnacentral:misc_RNA from 1 species
UGUCGCUAUAGACAUGCAAAGAUGCCUGGGCCUCCACCUCCAGUGGAAGAAAUCCUUCAAAAAAUUCAGCACCUGGCAUCCAACAACUAUGGUUACUCAAACAGGUUUAAUCAAAAUCGAAAUGCUAAUUAUUCAACCCAGACAGACAAAUCUCAGGCUUCACAAGCACAGAAUGGAACGAGUCUUGCUGUGAAAUCUACAGCAACUGAGACACCCAUUAUACAACAGCACCAGCCGCAUCAACAAGUUCAGCCACCUCAACUACAGGGGGGCCCAACUCAAGCACAAAUUCAUCCCAAUGGCCAGCAAAAUCAAGCUGAUAGAACUGCAGUAGUCCUG